rnacentral:rRNA from 1 species
GUGGGGAAUAUUGGACAAUGGGCGAAAGCCUGAUCCAGCCACGCCGCGUGUGUGAUGAAGGUCUUCGGAUCGUAAAGCACUGUGGGGAGGGAAGAACGAGCAGCGGGAACAAUACCCCGUUGCAGUGACGGUACCUCCUUAGCAAGCACCGGCUAACUCCGUGCCAGCAGCCGCGGUAAUACGGAGGGUGCAAACGUUGCUCGGAAUCAUUGGGCGUAAAGCGCGUGUAGGCGGCUUGUUAAGUUGAGUGUGAAAGCCCUGGGCUUAACCCAGGAAGUGCGCUCAAAACUGGCGAGCUAGAGUACGGGAGAGGGUAGUGGAAUUCCCGGUGUAGAGGUGAAAUUCGUAGAUAUCGGGAGGAACACCAGUGGCGAAGGCGGCUACCUGGACCGAUACUGACGCUGAGACGCGAAAGCGUGGGUAGCAAACAGGAUUAGAAACCCCGGUAGUCC